ACUGUGAUGAUGACUUAUGCAUACCGCCCCAGUCUGACUUUGAUAUGACUGAAUGGUAAUGACUCUGAUGCACU